rnacentral:rRNA from 1 species
AGUAAAUCAUGCGCUAAAAUGAAAGAAGAAGAAUACUUUACUGAAGCUAUGAGAUUUAUAUUUAAAUCGAUAGAGGGAGCGUUCUAUAUUUAGGAAGCAAAAAUGCAAAUUUUUGUGGAGAUAAUAGAAGUGAGAAUGUCAGCUUAAGUAGCAUAAAUAUUAGUAAAAUCUAAUACUCCGAAAGCUAAAAGGUCUCCUAUGAAAGGAUAUACCACGUAGGGAAAGUCGGGGCCUAAGGUUAGAUUUAAUAUGUACCUGAUGGGUAAAAGGUGAAAAUUCCUAUACCAUUAUAUAAUGGUAUAAACAAAUAGUGACCUAUAAUUUUUAGUAUAUUUUUAAGGCAUAGGUAACUUAAUAUGCUAAAUAUAUAUAGCUAGAAAAAUGUAUAUGUUAUAAUUAUAUAAUGCCCGUACUUCAAACUGACACAAGUAAGCAAGUAUAAAUGUACUAAGGAGUACGAAAUAACUUUCUCUAAGGAACUCGGCAAAAUAAUCCUGUAACUUCGGGAAAAAGGAUGCCCAAGGGGCUGCAAUUAAAUGAUCCAAGCGACUGUUUAUCAAAAACACAGGUCCCCGCUAAGUUUAAUCACAAUAUAAGGGGGCUGACACCUGCCCAGUGCUGGUAAGUUAAAAAAAAUGCUUUUAAUAGAGGUAUUUUUAUAAGCUCCAGUAAACGGCGGCUGUAACUAUAACGGUCCAAAGGUAGCGAAAUUCCUUGUCGGGUAAGUUCCGACCUGCACGAAAGGUGUAACGACUUGGAUGCUGUCUUUGAGAAAGAUUCGGUGAAAUAGGAAUGUCUGUGAAGAUACGGACUAUCUACACCUGGACAGAAAGACCCUAUGAAGCUUUACUAUAUUUUGAGAUGAAAACUAACAUAUAUUUGUGUAGAAUAAGUGGGAAACUAAUUAGUUUAUCUUGAAUCACCAGUGUUAUAUAUUUCAGUUUUGCAACAGCAUGUCGUCAACCAAUUAUCAGAAAAUCUUAACAAGGUAUUUUCACUGGUGCGGUAGCCUCUUAAAGAGCAACGCAGGUGCACACAGGUCUUGUUUUAAUUUAAAAUUUUCUUUUAAAUUAAAACUAUAAAGGGAAGAAAAGGCUUGAUUGCAAGAGUUACUACUCGAGCAAGGACGAAAGUCGGUCUUAAUGAUCCCGACAGUUGCUUUGUGGAAAGCUGU